AUAGCUUCCUUUUCUUGAUUGAGAAUAACUCCGAUGACUCCCAGCAAUUCCGGUGAAACUCUCGAUCCUCAACCACCUCUGACAAUCUCCAAAGCUUGCGACAUCAUUGGGCUCAGCCAAUUUCGAUUCUUGUCGCCAACUUCCCAUCAUCUCUCUCGAUCCCGAUUUCAAGAGACACAAUCCGACCUGGGUUUGCCAUUUCCGGUUGUCUUCGCCGUCGAAUCUCUUUUAUCUUCAACUGCCCUCACACGUCACUGCUCAAGCCCUGAAGCCUCAGUUCCUCUUUGAUUCUUCCCGAUAGUGAAACUAGAUGCAAAUUCUCUCAAACCAAAAAAAAAAAAUUUCAUCUCCUGCGAUUCCUCUAUCGCUGUUACUCUCUGUAAUCUCAGCGGAACCAGUUUCUUUGAUGAACAUCCCAUGUUCUUCUUCUUAACAGCUUCUCUAACGAACUACUUUCUCUUCUCCGUUGUUCAGGUGAUUAAAGCUUCUUCCAAGGAACAGCCCAUGUUCUUCAGCUACCUAGAUGACCUCAACUCCACCUGGAAUCAAAGUGUCCUCACCGUAAUUCCAGCCGCUUCCAGAGUACACCGUCGAUAAUAGAGUUACCUGGAGCUGCACCAUCCUUCAAGCUAGGUUGAGAAGAUCGCAGCAAGCCUGAGCUUUUUGUCCAGUGGGUUUGUACACAGCUUUGGUCCAUCUUGCAAUAAACAACAACUUUAGGAUUUGGGCCAGAGACUAAAUGACUGGAGCCCAUAAACUAACAAUAUCAAUGAUCUGACUUUACUAAUAAGGUUGACAAAAAAAAAAAAAGUUUACUAAUAAGGAAAGAUUGUCAAAAACUCUUCAACUUUACAAAUUAUUCUCAAAAAUAUCACUAAUUAACUUUCUUAUGAACCAAUCAAAUUUUCAAAUAUUAGGCCGUUAAUCCUAAGAUUUUUGAAAGAUUUUUUAGUCAUAGUGUUAGUCAACAAUAAUUGUGUACUAACACUAGAACUAAAAUGGUUUAUUUUGGUAGAUAAAAAAUUGGGGAUUAUUUUGGUAGAUCAAAAGUUGGGAAUUUCUUUGGUAAAUAAAAAAAAUGAAUGAACUAUUAAAUCAAAAAUCUAAUUCGGUGGUUUGGAUAAAAAAUAAUAAGAAAGAGAUAUAAAAGAUGAAAUCACAGUUUAGUUUUCACCUAAGAGCUAUUUUAUUUCAUUUUUUCGUAAAAGAGAAAUUUAUGAAGUUUGUGAAUUUUGGAUGAUAAAAUCAGUUUAUG